GGGGUUGUAGCUCAGUGGUAGAGCGCUUGCCUAGCAUGUGUGAGGCACUCGAUUCGAUCCUCAACACCA
rnacentral:tRNA from 1 species